AAAUUAUCAAAACCAUUUCUUCAAAAACAAAGUUGUGAAAAAUAAAUAUGAUAGCAGUUGUAAAAUAAAAAACUAGUUUUUCAAUCAAAUUUUUGCAAAAACUUUAUUUUAAAAAUUCAAAAGGUGAAUUUUGGUGUGUAAACAUUGUAUAAUAUAGGCAUUCAUUGUUAUUUAUUUCAUAACUCAUUAAAACUAUUUCUCAAUCCACUAUGUCGACAUCGUCAUCCUCUCGCGCUGCCCCCUCGGCUGAUGAGUCCGACUAUGUCACUGUUGUCCCUUGACGUGAUUCCCCGCCUCUGUGGAAGAAGACCCCUCGGAAGACACGAAAGACACGGGAGACUCGGUGGAGAUUAGUAGCGACAACGCCCUGAGUCAGCAACGCGAGACAUAGCUUGCAUCGGUGUUUUGUAUCCGACACACUGCGAGGAAGAACGUCUCUAGACCCGUAGGAAUGUUAUCCGAUGGAGCAGGACCUAGUAGGGUAGGACCUAGCAUGGCAGGACCGAGAGCACCCCCACCACAUCGAGUAAUUGAGAUACCUAUCAGGCAGGUAGAUAUAACCUUAGAGGAGUCUCGAAGAAUGCAAUGGAUGGCAGCGGACCUACGUCAGAGUCUCACAGUGAUAGCUGGGCAUCAGCAGGUUUUGGAUGUAGUGACGACAUGAAUGGGCAUCCUAUUUCACUACGAGAAUACAAAGCUAAGGCGACGACAGCUAUCCCGACGCCGGUAAUCGUCGCUACAAGUCAACCUAUGCCGACGACAAGUCGUCGCCAUAGCUUUUGGAACGUUUGACCAACUUUCUUAAUCUGUGCAGACGACAAGUCGUCGCCAUAGGUCUCGCGGGAACGUCGAAAAUGUUGGCGGUAAUAUGAAAAUAUAUACCGAUGACGUGUCGUCGGUAUAGAUGGCAGAAGUCGCGAGGGGACAUAGAGGAGACGGUGGGGAUAGACCUCCACACGGGAUUGCACGCGGUGUACCAUCGGAUUGCCAAUCUUCACAAGCGAAGAAUGUGAAUGUGCGUGGCAAAGGGAGAAACUUAAAUUUGUACGAUGAGUAUGAAAAAACAAGUGUAAGCCUUUGGAAUUGCUAAUUGAUAUCUCCGGGCGGACGUAUCGAUUUAUAGGGGACAACGGGCAAAUAUUUGUCAGACUGAUCUCAAAUCUGGUGGGAUCAAAGGUACCGUUGCAUUAUCAUACUUGGCGUCGUGUUCCUGCCAAGUACAAAGUUGAUUUAUAUCCCGGGCUAGAGGUAUCGGGGCACAAACUUGUGGGAACCCCUUCGAGCGGGUAUCCAAACAGAUAUGCAAAGAGCUUAUCGAGAGCGCAAGUAUCAGAUAAAAAAACAUUUUGAUAGAGUUGAUGGAUAUCUUAAUGUGGAAAGGGCAAGAAGACGUCCACCGGAUGAUUGGACCGCCCAAGCUUGGAACGAUAUAAUUGAUUUGUUGUUUUUGACCGAGGAAUACAGACGCACGUCGGAAAAAAAUAAAGUUACUACGUCGAAACUUCCACACACAAGUGCUCACGGAUGUAGACCGUAUGCUCAACGACGUUAUUUAGAGGAACAAAUGGGAAUCAAGCCGCAACAUAUUGAGGGUUGGAGACAAAUGCGCUACAAAGAAGGUUCGGGUUGGUGUACAAGUCGAGUAGAAGAAGACUGGAUAAGUGAUAAACGAAAUGAAUAUGGAGAAAAUUCAAAAUGAAUAUGAGAAAAUGCAAAACGAGGUUGGGGAAGGAGGAGAAGUAAACGAGGAAGAAUGUUUAGAACGUGCCCUUGGGACGAGACGUGGACAUGCUCGCGGGGUGGGUAGGAGACCAACCGCCAACUUCGGUUUAAUUCCAAAUGAACGGCCUUCCACUUCCAAAUCGUCUCAAUCUCAACCCCAAUCUCAAUCCCAAUUCGAUGCACAACAAAUGCAAGAAUAUUUGCAACAAUAUAAUGCGUCAUUGGUGGCUUGUAUUCCGAACUUCCAACCACCACCAUUUCCUAACUUUCUAUUAAACUAUAACACACAAGCAAGUAGCUCUCAACAAUUUUCCGAAAGGAUGGAAGGAGAAGAAGAAGGAGAAGAAGAAGAAGGAGAAGACUACUUAUUGUUAGUUAACUACUUAUUGUAAUAUUAAACUUGAACAAUGUUAGUUAACUACUUAUUGUAAUAUUAAACUUGAAUUUGAUGUUUUGAAUUUGAACAAUGGUACCUAGUUAAUGUA